AAAAAGAGACGAGGAACCCUGAACUGAAAUAAAUAAUUGUUCCGAUGGAACCUUCUCUUCUACUGUAGAUUGGACGUAGAUACACGACCCAAACCAUUAUUCUUUUCUAUUCAUUAUUCUUUUUAUUACCAAAGCAAAUAACCAUACCAAAUGCAGAUAGCGAAAGAGACGAAUCCGUUGUUAGGAAUCAUUAAAUCCUAUAAAUGAUUGUUCGGGUAUGUCGUGGAAUUUUUUUGAAAGACAAGAAUCAAAUAAUUUUCUGUGGUGGAACAAAAUAUCUCUCAUCUCCCCCUCGAAUAGAUUUGUUUUUUUUGUUUCCAAAGGAAUGUUGUUAUGUUGUUUUGAAGGGUGCACUAAUCCCUUGAAUCCGGUACCAACGGGUAUCACCCCCCCCAAAACAACGUUCUCUUUCAGGCCUUUCAACCAAUCGAUACGACCCCGGAGAGCCGCUUUUGCUAAAACUCGAGCAGUUUCUUGAAAACUUGCUUCAGAUAUGAAACUUUGAGUAUUGAGAGAUGCUCUUGUUAUUCCCAAUAAGACGACUCGGUAACAGAUCGCUUCUUCCAAAGCGCGCCCCAUUCGUUCUGCUCGCAACAAUCCAAUAAGUUCUCCGGGUGAAAAAACAUUAGACAUUCCAUCUUCUGAAAUCAACACUUUUGAUGUUAUUUGACGUACAAUAAUUUCUAUAUGCCUAUUAUGAAUCUGCACCCCCUGGGAGCGAUAAACCUGUUGGAUUUUAUUAACCAAAGAGAUUCGGCUUUGCGCUAUAGUUAGCUCAGCACCAAUCAAGAAUCCCCAAGGAAUUCCAAGAAUUCUUGGUAUACAUUUGUUCCAACCCUCAACCCUCUUUUCUAGAUUCAUGGAUAUUGAAUCAAUCGAACGCACUUCUAAGACCUGUUCUACUUUUGGAAGACCCUGUGUUAUAUCACCAGAUCUCGAUUUUUCAUAUAUAAAUGUAACUAAUGUAUCUCCUUCGUAAAGGGUUUCCCCAUAAUGGCCAUGAACAGUUGCUCCGGGGGUGGCCAAAUAAGGCUUAGCUGAUCGUAUCACUAUCGAGUCAACUUGAACAAGUAUAACUUGACCCGAUUUGAGGGGCGGUCCAUUUUUGGCUAUACAUACAUUUUCACAAAUAAACUGUCCAAGACUAAUUAUUUUAGAUGUCUCUGCACAAUAAUAGUGAUGGAGAAAAGACCAAUUCAAAUUGAAUGGAUUUAAAAUAAUGUUACGGCAUGGAUCGGGAUUAAAAAUUUUUCCAUUUUCAUCCAUUAAAUAAUAUUUUAAUUUAAUCACUUGAAAAGUCUGUUUUAAAUUGUCAAGUUGCAAAUAUUUAGUUACUAAGAUCUGAUUAUGAGUUAUUAAAUGGUAAGAUGAAUAAAAAUUCUCAAUUGGAAGGCAUGUUCCUAAAGGGCCCAAUGAAUUCCUAAUUGGAAUUAGGGGAUCUUUUUUAAUUGAUUCUUUUAUCACACUGUGAUAUUUUACAUCUUUGAAUGGCUCCAUUCGAGAACAAUUGGCUGCUGACAAAAUUAUCAACGACUGACAUUCCUUAUUUCUAUUCAACAACGUAUGAAUAGUUCCUUGAGGUUGGUUAAGAGAUUGUUGAAUUUUUGCCUUGGAAUAGGAAUAAAUAGCAGAAAAGGGAUUGAUAUUGGUACAAUCCGAUCCAUUAUCAGAGAGCAAUCCUGACCCCGACGGAUCAUUCCUUUUUCCGAUAUACGAAAUAGGGGAUUUCACUAAGUUGAUUUUUAGGAAAUGUCGAAUCAAACCAUUUGUCCUUAUUUCAACAAAAGAAGCACGGGCUUCUUCGCAAGAAGAACUUUUUUUGUCUUGGUUCCAAUUCAAUACUAAACAAGUCCGAACUAAUUGAAUACUUGUGUCAGAAAUUCCUCGAAUCGGUUUGCCAUUUCCAUAAAGGAUAUAAUUGACAAUUCGAAGUUGCACAUUAUCCCUUUCCUGCAAUGGAUCCGGUGGAAAAAGGGUUCCUAAAUUUAUACCGUCCGUUAUUUCAUAUGUGACGACAGGUCGAACUAAAACAAAAAACCUUUUCUUACUAGGUGUAAUUCGUUGGACAUAGAUCCAAUUUUGAACUUUUUUGUAUUCCUUGGAAUUUCUUUUUCCUGUUCCUGGUGGUAUCAAAACGCCGGUAUGCCUGGAUAUCUUAUCCGUCUCUCCAGGAAAAUGGAUAUCUCCAGAAAAGAUUUUCAGUUCAAUUCGUUUUUUUUUUCUCUCCACCCGGACCAACCCACCGACUCGGCUUCUUAGAUUUAAGGUGAUUUGUGUAUCGACCCCAACGAUACUAUUGUUCCGUACCAUUAGGGAAGAAGAUCCGGGCAAGAUAUGCACCUCUUCAGGAAUGAAAAAAAAUCGAUCUACUUUCAUUUGGUAUUUUGGCCUAAAUUCCUUGACUCCUCGAUACUCAAUCAAAUCCUCUUUUUUGAUGACUGAAUGCGUUUCUAUAGUCCCAUAUUUAAUAAUGCCCGAACUCUUUCUUCUGUAUCGAGGAUCAUCGAAAUAAGCAAGAAUACUAUUUCGACGGAAAAUACCAUUUACGGGGAUUUCAAUCGAGAUACCUGAACAGGGCAUUAGUUCAUUCUCGAGUUCUUGAAUCGAGUGUAGUGGAAUGAUGAAUUUAUUUCUUCGCCUUUUUGACAAUAAAGCAGAAUUCCCGUGAAGAAUAGGCGAAUAUACGAGAUUAUACUGGCCAGUACAUAUGAUUCGAUUAAGGUCUGAAUAAUCAGGAAUCCUAUCUUCUUUUUGACCAUAAAAAUCCGAACUAAACAAUUUCUGCCUCGCCUGAUCAUUGGUUACUGAGAGGUUAGAAGUAUAUCUUCGCUUGCCAGAAAGAGAAUGCGCAUUCAUUUGAUCCUGAUCCUUGUGGAUCGAAAGGUAGACUAGACUGGACCUGCACGGCCCUCCUAAUAAUAUCCAUAAAUGACUUGUUUUUGGUAAUAGAUGAACAUUACCAUAUGUAAAUUCGGGUGCAUGAUAGACAUCGGUACUCCAGUGCAUUUCUCCGUCUGAAUCAGAAUAAAUAUGUUUUCGAACCUUCUCUUUAAAAUUCAAAGUGGAUAUUCCUGCGCGAAUCUCAGCAAUUACUUGUUCUGAUUCUACGUAUUGAUCGUUUUGAACUAAAAGCAAACUUUUGGGUGGAAUAUUCACAUUAUGUAGAAUAUCUUCACUCUCAAUAGUUACAUACAAGUCUAUAGAACAUAGAAAGGCGGGAUGCCCAUGACGUGUACGUGUCGGAUGAACCAAGUCCUCAUUGAAUUUUAUUUUUCCAUUAGAUGGGGCUCGCACAUGUUCUGCAGUACCCCCCGUGAAUACUCCUCCGGUAUGAAAAGUUCGUAAUGUUAAUUGAGUACCCGGUUCUCCAAUCGAUUGACCUGCAAUAAUACCUACAGCUUCCCCCAAUUCAACCAGGUCGCCAUGAGUAGGACUACGCCCAUAACAUAAUCGACAAAUCCAAGAUGUACUCCUACAAGUAAAGGGAGUUCGAAUAGAGAUUGGUUGUGCCCGAAAGGUUAUGAAUCGAUUUACAAGUCCAAUGCCAAUGGCUUGGUUUCUAGUGGCAAUACAUCGUGAACCCAUGUAUAUAUCAUCUGCUAAUACACGGCCAAUUAAUGUUUGACUAAAAAUCCUUUCCGGCAUUAUCCCAUUCCGAGGACUCACAGAAAUACCCCGGGCGGUGCCACAAUCCGUUCGACGUACAACAAUGUGUUGAACUACUUCAACAAGUCUGCGAGUGAGAUAUCCAGCGUCUGAUGUUCGUACAGCAGUAUCCACAACUCCUUUACGGGCUCCGUAGCAAGAAAUGAUGUAUUCUGUUAAAGAGAGUCCUUCGCGUAAAUUGCUUUGAAUAGGUAAAUCAAUCAUUUGUCCUUGAGGAUCCGACAUUAAUCCUCUCAUACCUACUAAUUGAUGUACCUGAGAUGCAUUUCCUCGAGCUCCCGAGAAAGACAUUAUAUGAACUGGAUUAAAAGGGUCAGUCAUCCUAAAAUUCGGAUUCAUUUCUUGGCGCAAAUAUUCACUUGUAGCAUACCAUAUUUCAAUGGAUUGACGUAAUUUUUCUACCGCGUGUACAUUUCCAUACUGAUGGUGUUUUUCCAAAAUCAAACUUUGUUGUUCAGCAUCUUGAACUAGCCAUCCCUUAGAAGGUAUUGUUAAAAGAUCAUCAAUUCCUAAUGAAAUGGAUGUAGCAGUAGCUUGUUGGAACCCCAGAGUUUUUACUUGAUCCAGGAUAUGUGAUGUAUAUGCCAUUCCGAAGUGCUCUAUUAAUCUACUAAUAAGUCGUUUCAUGGCAGUUCCGUCUAUCGCUUUAUUGUGAAAGACCAGAUUGGCCCGUUCUGCCAUAAGUACCUCCAUAUUCCGCUGAGUAGGAUUCGACAAUGGGUUUGAGUCGGUGAUUGUAAAACUUCCUUUUAUCGAUCUUGAUUCGCGUAUAAAUUCCGGAACUAUGGACCUAGCUGAACCGGAGAGCCCCGAAGUCCCACGGUAUCAUAGAAUUAGGUAGCAUAUGAAUAGGCCCGAGAAAACCCCUGUAUAGCUUCUUCGAUUUCUCGAUAAAGAGCAAUAUGACCAACAGUGGUUCGAAUGUAUAUAAAAAGUAUUUUUUUUUUUAGACUUCUUACUAUUAGAUAGUGUCCAUAAAUCUCAUAAAAAGUACCUAAAGAUUCAUAGUGAACUUCGAUGGGAGUUUCUCUUGAAGCAAUAACGCGUUGAUCUAGUCGCCACCGGAGCCACAAAGGACUAUCUAAAUUGAUUCGUUUCUGCCGAUAAGCCCCAAUUGCAUCAUAGGAAUUCGAAAAAAAGGGUUCUUUCGUAUACUUAUAGUAACUAUUGUCACUUCUUUUUUGAUUUUGAUAGUUUCUGCGAUUACAUGGAUUAUAUCUAUUUACACAAAUACCUCGAUGAUUUCCGCUCGUUAAUACAUAGAGUCCAAUAAGCAUAUCUUGCGUUGGCACGGAAAUGGGAUCCCCAAUAGCCGGAGACAAAAGAUUCAUAUG
rnacentral:lncRNA from 1 species